AAGUCGUAACAAGGUUUCCGUAGGUGACCUGCGGAAGGAUCAUUCAUAAUAAGUGUUUUAUGGCACUUUUUAAAUCCAUAUCCACCUUGUGUGCAAUGUCGGUCGAUCUUCUUCAUGGAGAUCGACCAAACAUCAACCUUUAUCUUUUAACUCUUUGUCUGAAAAAUAUUAUGAAUAAACAAUUCAAAAUACAACUUUCAACAACGGAUCUCUUGGCUCUCGCAUCGAUGAAGAACGCAGCGAAAUGCGAUACGUAAUGUGAAUUGCAGAAUUCAGUGAAUCAUCGAAUCUUUGAACGCAUAUUGCGCUCUUUGGUAUUCCGAAGAGCAUGCUUGUUUGAGUAUCAGUAAACACCUCAAAGCUUUUGGAUUUUUUAAUCGAAAAGCUUUGGACUUGAGCAAUCCCAACACCAAUCUUUUUGAGAUCGGUGGCGGGUUGCUUGAAAUGCAGGUGCAGCUGGACAUUCUCCUGAGCUAAAAGCAUAUUCAUUUAGUCCCGUCAAACGGAUUAUUACUUUUGCUGCAGCUAACAUAAAGGGAGUUUGACCGUAUUGGCUGACUGAUGCAGGAUUUCACAAGGGUCGGCAACGAUUCUUGUUAAACUCGAUCUCAAAUCAAGUAAGACUACCCGCUGAACUUA
rnacentral:misc_RNA from 1 species